GGGUCUCAGCCUCAACCUCCCAGGCUCAAGCAAUCCUCCCACCUCAGCCUCCUGAGCAGCUGGGACUAUAGACAUUCACCACCACACCCGGCUAAUUUUUAAUUUUUUUUGUAGAAACAGGGUCCCACUAUGUUGUACAGGCUGGUCUCAAACUCCUGGGCUCAUGUGAUCCUCCUGUUUCAGCCUCCCAAAGUGAUAGGAUUGGAGACAUGAGCCACUGAGCCUGGCCAGUUUUUGCUGUUUAUAAUGGUCCCCAAGCAUAGCACUGAAGCGCUGUCUAGUGUUCAGUGUUAAUGAAUUAACAAGAUUGAAAAAUUUCAGCAGCCUACAAUUUUCCUGACAAAAAUUGAAAGCAGGCAGCGAAAAACUGGAAGGUUGGUUAGUGUCUAUUAAAAUAGCUUUUGAUAAGAAGGCUCAGAAGACCAGUGUUUCCAUGAACACUGACAAUUUGAUGAGGAUUUUUACAAUGGGCAUAGACCUUACAAAACCAUUUGAAUACCUUUUUGCUACUGGGAAUCUGCGUUCUAAAACAGGUCUUGGCCUCCUACAAGAUUCUGGACUUUGUGUUGUGGCUGACAAGCUGAACUUCAUACGCUACCUCUCCCAUUUCCGCUGCGUGCACAGAGGGGCUGAUUU
rnacentral:lncRNA from 10 species